CGGGAUCAGGUUUGUAGCAAUACAGAUUUGGUCCAGUGGCAAACGGGUGCGUAACACGUGAGCAAUCUGCCGGGAAGUGGGGGACAGCUCGCCGAAAGGCGAAUUAAUACCGCAUAUGGCCAGGGAGGACAUCCUUCCGAAGCCAAAGUCGCAAGACGCUUCCUGAUGAGCUCGCGGCCUAUCAGCUUGUUGGUGAGGUAACGGCUCACCAAGGCAAUGACGGGUAGCUGGUCUGAGAGGACGACCAGCCACACUGGAACUGAGACACGGUCCAGACACCUACGGGUGGCAGCAGUCGAGAAUUUUUCACAAUGGGGGAAACCCUGAUGGAGCGACGCCGCGUGGAGGACGAAGGCCUUCGGGUCGUAAACUCCUGUCAUGCGGGAACAAGAAAGUGAUAGUACCGCAAGAGGAAGAGACGGCUAACUCUGUGCCAGCAGCCGCGGUAAUACAGAGGUCUCAAGCGUUGUUCGGAUUCAUUGGGCGUAAAGGGUGCGCAGGCGGCGUGGAAAGUUGAGUGUGAAAUCCCGGGGCUUAACCCCGGAACUGCACUCAAUACUUCCAUGCUAGAGGAAUGUAGAGGAGAGUGGAAUUCACGGUGUAGCAGUGAAAUGCGUAGAUAUCGUGAGGAAGACCAGUUGCGAAGGCGACUCUCUGGGCAUUUCCUGACGCUCAUGCACGAAGGCCAGGGGAGCAAACGGGAUUAGAUACCCCGGUAGUCCUGGCAGUAAACGGUGCACGUUUGGUGUGGGCGGGCUCAGACCCCGUCCGUGCCGGAGCUAACGCGUUAAACGUGCCGCCUGGGAAGUACGGUCGCAAGAUUAAAACUCAAAGAAAUUGACGGGGGCCCGC
rnacentral:rRNA from 1 species